rnacentral:sRNA from 1 species
UGUAUCAUUCGACAACUUAUGCCACAAC